UGAUAUAGUAAUUUAAAAAAAAAAUCCAGGUACAAAUUUAAGCUAUUAAUUAACAUUGGUCACAGUACUUAAUCUUCAUUAAGUAUCUAAGUGAAUGUUCCAUAUUGAUAAGAACUGCAUGACAAUGCUACAGAGCAUAGGUCAGAAUGGCAAAGCCAGUGGACAUACAAAAUGUGUUGAAAUAGACACGCACUCUAAGAAGCAGUUCUUGAAAUAGGACUGACCGAGGUGGGAUGAUUCACUCCUCUCUCAUUUGACAUGUGUGCUCUCACUAAAUUCUACAUGCCUCUGUAUCACAUUCCUACGAACUUUCAGCAUUCCAGAAUUCUCCCACUGGUAAAACAUAGGGAGAGGUUAAUAACAAUUAUCUGCACCCUCAUUUGGUGCCCAGGGAUCUCGUGCCAACACCCAUUUCCUCCUUGGGGGGAUGGGCAGGAGGUCAUAUAGUAGGAUAUAUAUAAACAUUCUCUGAGACUGGAGACCAGUUGCUUAGAUACCGUAUGAGAUACCCAGCCUUGACAACCACACCACAGCAUAUAAUAAAUUGAGCAUCUAAUUGAAACCCAUCUGAGAAUCUACCUGAUUCAUUUUCCGUCGGUGGCUGCCAGAAGCAAUAUAGACCAACAGGAAAUCAUUAAGGAGGCAGCUAUAGCAGAAAGUACUUGCUGAUUUGGGGAAGGCACCUUUGAGAAGUGAGGCUCCUUCAUUUCAAGACAGAAACUCCUGCUCUUACCACUGAGAGCGAGUUAUUUUCCAACGCAGCCUAUGAGCCACUUGGGUCAUAGUACAAAUUUGCAAGGCCGAAUGCAAGGAGUGAAUUUUACCAAGCAGUUCCCUUUCCCCGGCAGCAGCAUCUCCCAGGGCUGCUUUGUGAGAGCACUGUAGAUCACAGCUUGUGGUAGCCCACAUUAGAAGAGAAUCAAGAACCUUAGCCCUCAAAGACCUGCUCCCACAUGGUUUCUGUGGAACCCCAGACACCAACUACUAUGACGAAUGACACUCAGUGUUUUGGAAGGCAAAUACCAACUGAAGAAUCUGAUAACCACUUCUCUCACUAGUCCACUGGUGAAUAAUAACUCAAUCUACCAGCUGAACUGCAUAAUUCCACAUUGCUUCAAGGCUUCACAUUGCAUCCCUCACCAAAACCAAUCACCAUGCAAGUAUACAUCACUCAACUACAAUAUGAUUAAUAACUAGUAAUAAUAGCUAGUAGUAUUGGUAAUUAUUAACUGAAUAUCCAUAGCUCGACGUGGGUUAUCUCAUUUGCUCUUCAAAACUACCCUCUGAUAGAACACUACUGAUAGCCUCAUUUUAUAGAUGAAGAAACUGAAACUCUAAGUGGGUCUGUCAGCCAUCCAAUACGCAUG